rnacentral:rRNA from 1 species
UGCGCAGGCGGCCGUGUGUGUGAGGCGUGAAAGCCCGGAGCUCAACUCCGGAAUUGCACCUCAAACUACACGGCUAGAGCAUUGGAGAGGGUAGCAGAAUUCACGGUGUAGCAGUGAAAUGCGUAGAUAUCGUGAGGAAUACCAGAGGCGAAGGCGGCUACCUGGACAAUUGCUGACGCUCAGGCACGAAAGCGUGGGGAGCAAAAGGGAUUAGAUACCCCUGUAGUCCACGCCCUAAACGGUGCACACUAGGUCUUGGCGGAUUCGACCCCACCAGGGCCCAAGCUAACGCGUUAAGUGUGCCGCCUGAGGACUACGGCCGCAAGGCUAAA